rnacentral:rRNA from 1 species
UACGGAGGGUGCAAACGUUGCUCGGAAUUAUUGGGCGUAAAGCGCGUGUAGGCGGCCAUGUAAGUCGGGCGUGAAAGCCCAGGGCUCAACCCUGGAAGUGCGUUCGAUACUGCAUAGCUUGAGUAUGGGAGAGGGUAGUGGAAUUCCCGGUGUAGAGGUGAAAUUCGUAGAGAUCGGGAGGAACACCAGUGGCGAAAGCGGCUACCUGGACCAAUACUGACGCUGAGACGCGAAAGCGUGGGGAGCAAACAGG